AGUGUACUCCCUCCGUCCGGAAAAGCUUGUCCCAUGCUUGUUCCUCAAAUGGAUGUAUCUAGCACUAACUUGGUGCUAGAUACAUCCAUUUGAGGGACAAGCUUUUUCGGACGGAGGGAGUAUAUU
rfam:Triticum aestivum genome assembly, contig: Triticum_aestivum_CS42_TGACv1_scaffold_272258_3DS